rnacentral:rRNA from 1 species
UACGAAGGGGGGCUAGCGUUGCUCGGAAUUACUGGGCGUAAAGCGCACGUAGGCGGUCUUUUAAGUCGGGGGUGAAAUCCUGGAGCUCAACUCCAGAACUGCCUCGAUACUGGAAGACUUGAGUCCGGGAGAGGUGAGUGGAACUGCGAGUGUAGAGGUGAAAUUCGUAGAUAUUAGGAAGAACACCAGUGGCGAAGGCGGCUCACUGGUCCGGUACUGACGCUGAGGUGCGAAAGCGUGGGGAGCAAACAGG